CAACACUAAGAAUGUCAGCAAAUAUUUACAUUAUGGUUGAAAAAAGAUUAUCUUCAGACUUCCAUGGCAGAUGUGAGAAUGAUUCGUAAAGACGAGGUAUCUCUUGUUUUUAUUUUCGCUAUGAAAAAGGUUUUUUCAAGAACAAGUACAUGAGUUACUCGCAAGUACUUACCUCAGGAGGGCUUAAACCCUAUUGCGAUAAUUAGCCUUCAGAGUAUUUUUGAUGGGAUACUAGAUAUACAAAUUGACAGUUUUCGACUUCAUUAUCCGGUACGAGAAUAAAGCGGCGUGWAGGUAAGAAAGGAGUUUAACAGCUGUUUUUAUUAAAUGUACACAAACGGCUUGGAAACAGCGGGAAUCAUACACCAAUGAAACAUUGAGAGCUUAUCUGUAAAAAACAAAGGCUUACGAGGUUCUCAACAGAAUUGCUUGAUAAGAUGUGUGAAGUGCCAUUGUCAUGGCAACUAAUCUUGUUUGAUGUAACAAUGUUAUUGAUGCUACCAUAAAAGCAAUCAGUAUUGGA